rnacentral:rRNA from 1 species
CCUACGGGCGGCUGCAGUCGAGAAUCAUUCACAAUGGGGGAAACCCUGAUGGUGCGACGCCGCGUGGGGGAAUGAAGGUCUUCGGAUUGUAAACCCCUGUCAUGUGGGAGCAAAUUAAAAAGAUAGUACCACAAGAGGAAGAGACGGCUAACUCUGUGCCAGCAGCCGCGGUAAUACAGAGGUCUCAAGCGUUGUUCGGAAUCACUGGGCGUAAAGCGUGCGUAGGCUGUUUCGUAAGUCGUGUGUGAAAGGCGCGGGCUCAACCCGCGGACGGCACAUGAUACUGCGAGACUAGAGUAAGGGAGGGGGAACCGGAAGUCUCGGUGUAGCAGUGAAAUGCGUAGAUAUCGAGAGGAACACUCGUGGCGAAGGCGGGUUCCUGGACAUUAACUGACGCUGAGGCACGAAGGCCAGGGGAGCGAAAGGGAUUAGAUACCCUAGUAGUC